AUGGUAUGCGGUGCCGUGCUGGGGUACCUGGCACCGAGCUGUGGCACCGUGGUGCCACGGCAAGUGGUUGGCACUGAGCCGUGGCACCGAGCCGUAGUACCGCGGCACCUCGCGGCCCCAACCGAGGUGCCGCGGCGCCAGCCGUGGUGCCAUGGCACCUCGCGGCACCAGCUGUGGUGCUGUGAUGCCACGGCUUGGUGCCAACCACUUGCCGUGGCACCGCGGUGUCGCAGCUCGGUGCCACAGAUCGAUGUUGAUGCAGUGAUAGUGCUGACUCAGACGCCUGCUGUCCUCACAGUUUCUGCAGGACAAGAGGUUGUUCUCAAAUGUAACAUUCAGAGAUAUGAUGGGAAUUAUGGCUAUGGAACAGGAUUCUCCUCUGAUCGAUUUAACUCUAAAAUAUUCGGACCAGGCACCAAGCUGACUGUGACAUGCUCCAGCAUCCCUCCUCCUGUCCUGACAGUCUUCCCUCCGUCCGCUGCUGAGCUCCAGUCCAACAAAGCCACUCUGGUCUGUCUGUCCAGUCAGUCUGUGGCUUUUGCACAUGUGACCUGGUUGGCUGCUGGGAGUCCGCUGAGCACUGGGAUCUCUACCAGCACUGCUGUUCAGCAACCAGACCAGACUUUCCAAAUCAGCAGCUACCUGUCCAUCCAGACGUCAGACGUCAGACUGGAACACGGAUCAGGUUUACACAUGUCAAGUGUCUGUGGGCUCCCAGACUUCCGAGAAAAACAUCAACAAGUCAGCGUGUCCCACUGAGCAACAGUAGAGGAGCACAAUGACCAUCUGAAACCUGCUUCUGCACCGUCUGUGCUCUGUGCUCUGUACAAGGUUUACAUGAUACACAACAUUACACACAGCAGACACGAACACCAUGACGUCACCACCACCUAGCCGGUUUGGGUUACUAAAUGCACGUUCCAUUGCCAAUAAAUCCUCCUCCCUAAAUGAGCUUUUUACUAACAGGAACUUGGACGCAU